UGAACGCUAGCGAUAGGCUUAACACAUGCAAGUCGAGGGGCAGCAUGGUCUUAGCUUGCUAAGACUGAUGGCGACCGGCGCACGGGUGCGUAACGCGUAUGCAACUUGCCUCACAGAGGGGGAUAACCCGUCGAAAGACGGACUAAUACCGCGUACACUUGGGAUAGGGCAUCCUGACCCAAGGAAAUGAAAUUCGCUGUGAGAUAGGCAUGCGUCCCAUUAGCUAGUUGGUGAGGUAACGGCUCACCAAGGCGACGAUGGGUAGGGGAACUGAGAGGUUGAACCCCCACACUGGUACUGAGACACGGACCAGACUCCUACGGGAGGCAGCAGUGAGGAAUAUUGGUCAAUGGGCGAGAGCCUGAACCAGCCAAGUCGCGUGAAGGAUGACUGUCUUAUGGAUUGUAAACUUCUUUUAUACGGGAAUAACAAGAGCCACGUGUGGCUCCCUGCAUGUACCGUAUGAAUAAGCAUCGGCUAACUCCGUG
rnacentral:rRNA from 1 species